rnacentral:rRNA from 1 species
AGAUUGAACGCUGGCGGCAUGCCUAACACAUGCAAGUCGAACGGGAGUAGCAAUACUCUAGUGGCGGACGGGUGAGGAAUACGUAGGAAUUUGCCCUUAAGUGGGGGAUAACCCGGGGAAACCCGGAUUAAUACCGCAUGACCUCGAAAGAGCAAAGUGGGGGAUCGCAAGACCUCACGCUUUUGGAGAAGCCUACGUCGGAUUAGCUAGUUGGUGAGGUAAUGGCUCACCAAGGCGACGAUCCGUAACUGGUCUGAGAGGAUGAUCAGUCACACCGGAACUGAGACACGGUCCGACUCCGUACGGGAGGCAGCAGUGGGAAUAGUUGGACAAGUGGGCGCAAGCCUGACUCCAGCAAGUGACCGCGUGUGUAGGAAGAACGGUCCGUUCGGGUUAGUAAAGCUAACGUUUAACGGUUAGGGAAAG